rnacentral:rRNA from 1 species
ACUCUAAGGAGACUGCCGGUGGACAAACCGGAGGAAGGUGGGGAGUGACGUCAAGUCAUCAUGGCCCUUACGGCCUGGGCUACACACGUGCUACAAUGGUCGGUACAAAGGGUUGCCAAGCCGCGAGGUGGAGCUAAUCCCAUAAAACCGAUCGUAGUCCGGAUCGCAGUCUGCAACUCGACUGCGUGAAGUCGGAAUCGCUAGUAAUCGUGAAUCAGAAUGUCACGGUGAAUACGUUCCCGGGCCUU